rfam:Zea mays cultivar B73 chromosome 6, whole genome shotgun sequence.
GCUUGUCUAGCUUAGUUGGUAGAGUGCAAUGCUCUUAACCUUGAGGUUAUGGGUUCGAGCCCCAUCGUGGGUG